UACGUAGGGUGCGAGCGUUGUCCGGAAUUAUUGGGCGUAAAGAGCUCGUAGGCGGCCUGUUGCGUCCGCUGUGAAAGCCCGGGGCUUAACCCCGGGUCGCAGUGGAUACGGGCAGGCUAGAGGUAGGUAGGGGAGAAUGGAAUUCCCGGUGUAGCGGUGAAAUGCGCAGAUAUCGGGAGGAACACCGGUGGCGAAGGCGGUUCUCUGGGCCUUACCUGACGCUGAGGAGCGAAAGCGUGGGGAGCGAACAGG
rnacentral:rRNA from 1 species